rnacentral:lncRNA from 10 species
AGAAAGUCUCCCAAAAGGGCCCACGGUGUGUAGAAUGUGGCAGAGAGGUGACAGAGUGUGGGCUGAGCCAGCGAUGUCCUGGGUGUUCCUUUCCCAGCCAUGGGCACUGGGACAGGCUGGAGUGGUAGCCAGGACCCAGAGGAGAGUGAGAGAAUGGCAGUUCCCCCAGGGCACACUGACCUGCAAACAGGUCCAAUUUCAAUUCCAGAUGCAGGAAGCUGAGAGGCAGGCUCCCGCUCCCCACAUUCAUGCCCAUCAGCAAGCCACGCCACAUCCAGCAGCCAGCCAGCCAUUCACUGCACAGAGGCCCCCACCAGGCCAGCAGCAGCUGUCACCCUUCUUCAGUCAUCUGUUCCUCAGACACUUUUGUGGAUAGGGCCCAAGUAACUUGAUUAAGUUUCUAUACCAGCAUUUCUAACCUUGACACUAUGGAAUUUCAAGCCAGACAAUUCUUUGUUGUGGGAGGCCAUUCUGAGCAUUGUAGACUUCCUAGUCUGUACCGCCGAAUGCUAGCGGCAGCCUUUCUUCUCCAAGCUGCGACAAUCAAAAAUGUCUGCAGACAUUGCCAAAUGGCCCCUGGGAGGCAAAGCUACCCUUUGGUUGACAGCUGCUGAUCUAUACAACAGUGCGGCUGUCACCCACUGCUCAGGUCCAGGAGGGCAGCUCUCCCAGGGAGGCCAAGGGUCUGGGAAGGUGAGUACACACAGAAGUCGGAAGUAAAGAGCCACCAGCAAAGGUGACCCACCUGGACACCUUCACCACAGCAGCACUGGGCUCUCCCGCGCUGUGCUGUGAUGCUGCAACCCAGGCCUCAUGUGUCUCCCUGGGCCUGCCUCAAUGCGGGCUGCCUGUGGCCUGUCCCCUUGCCUUCUCCAGAUAAAAAGUCAUUCUGUUCCUGGAGCUUUUGUGGCGUCUCAUUU